rnacentral:rRNA from 1 species
ACGAGUGGCGAACGGGUGAGUAAUACAUCGGAACGUGCCCGAUCGUGGGGGAUAACGAAGCGAAAGCUUUGCUAAUACCGAUACGAUCUACGGAUGAAAGCAGGGGACCGCAAGGCCUUGCGCGAACGGAGCGGCCGAUGGCAGAUUAGGUAGUUGGUGGGAUAAAAGCUUACCAAGCCGACGAUCUGUAGCUGGUCUGAGAGGACGACCAGCCACACUGGGACUGAGACACGGCCCAGACUCCUACGGGAGGCAGCAGUGGGGAAUUUUGGACAAUGGGCGAAAGCCUGAUCCAGCCAUGCCGCGUGCAGGAUGAAGGCCUUCGGGUUGUAAACUGCUUUUGUACGGAACGAAAAGACUCUGGUUAAUACCUGGGGUCCAUGACGGUACCGUAAGAUAAGCACCGGUACUACGUGCCAGCAGCCGCGGUAAUACGUAGGGUGCAAGGCGUUAAUCGGAAUUACUGGGCGUAAAGCGUGCGCAGGCGGUUAUAUAGACCGGAUGUGGAAUCCCCCGGGGUCAACCUGGGGGAAACUUGGGCUUUUUGGGGGGGAACUUGGGGUAUUUAAGGUUUAGAAGUUACACGGGGGCAAAAAGGGG